UUUCCGUAGGUGAACCUGCGGAAGGAUCAUUAAUGAAUUUCUGGGUGUUUUUUUGGACGACUGGACAUGCGCAAGCGUGGACAGAAGUCUCGCCCGAUAAUCCAAAUCCUGUGAACUUGUAAAUUGUUUGUUGCUUGGCAGGUGUUUUUCUGGGGGGAAAUUUAGCCAGGAGAUGUGAGAAGAGCAUUGCUUCGGUUCUGUCUCUACCUUGCAUUUCUAAGAUAAUUUUCCUUCCCGGCCUGCCAGCAGUAUUUUAUAAACCAUUUUGAUUGAGUUGUCUGAAACAAAUAUAAAAAAAAAGCUUAAAACUUUCAACAACGGAUCUCUUGGUUCUC
rnacentral:misc_RNA from 1 species